AAUCUCUCUGCUAAUACUUAUGAAACAAUAGAGUCAAGUGUGAAUGCAGCUGUCUUCAUUUCCUACCAGUGACUUCUCAUUCUGCUGCUUAAAACCAAUCCAUGGGCACACUGAACCAGGCAGCAGGGAUGACAGGUGGGGAUGUGGUAUUUUCCCAGCACCUUGUUUUGGGCACUGGGAAGCCCCAUUCCCCUCUGCCUGGCACAUGGAUUUUAACUUCAGCUCCAGGAUCAGCAAUAUGAUUGUCUGAAACUAGUCCACUUUGGUGUAAAAACAUCAUCUCUUCUGCUGGAAGUGGAGGAAAAUAGUCUGGAAAUAUUUCUUUCUGAGCAGGGAGACCUACACUUUCUCUGCCCAAUCUGUGGCUGAUAAUCCCCAGAGACAGCCCAGCAGAAGAGACCAGGGCAAGCAGAGAGCCAAGCCUAGGCAGCUACUGGCAGGAACAUUUAUUUGCAGCAGCUGAUCAAAGCUGAGCGUUACUGAUGACUUCUGAACAUGGCCAAGAGCAUGUUUGCCCUGCAGCCUGCUCCUGCCUUUGCUCACUUGGGAAGACAUGGAUGCUUCUCAGCAGCAGAAGCAGGUCUUAGGGUCUGUGCCCUGCCCACUGCCUUCUCUGAGGGUCCCAGGAGAGCAUGACAUGAAGAUGUCUUGCCAGGGCCCCAGCAGCAACAGGCACCAUGACCAGGAGACAAAUGAGCAAGGGGAGGAUGCAGCCACAGAGAGCUGAGUAUAUGCUGCUUCCAUCGUGCACAGACACCUGAAGAGCACCCAGGGCCAUGGGAAGUCCUUCCCCAUCCCAGCAUCUGCCUUCAUUUGAGAUGUAGCACACAAUACACAGGUCCCUUCGCUGCUCUGACCUUGGCUCAGCAGCAGCAGCAGCUCCACCCCAUGUCCCAGUGUCCCCCCAGGCAUCCCCAAUACCUCCACACACCCAGCUCUGAUCAGAGCAGGGCCGGGGCAGGUGUAUGAGUUUGGGCUCCCUCAGGGCAGUCUGACACUAUCCUUGCUGCUGACACCGCAUCCUGUCCUGCCACAGAGCUCCGGCAAGUUGUGGGUUGAGAACUGAGCUGCUUAUCUUAGUGCUGCUCUGAUCUAAUUUUACUUUCUUAAGCAAUGUCCAGGCUUUAGAGUGUCUUGUAAUGCAAAGGCUCUGCAUGGCAAGGAGGGGAGUCCCUGCAGUAAUACAGCAGUUAUCCCACACACCAGGACAGCAGUUACCCCACAUCAGUACAGCAGUUACCCCACAUCAGUACAGCAGUUAUCCUACAUACACUGGUACAGCAGACAUCCCCCAUGCCAGAACAGCAGUUACUCCCCAUUCAUGACUUUGCUGAUAAAACCCUCUGGCUGCAGCACUGGCUCAGCAAAUUUCCAGCAGAGCAUACAGCAUGGUAUAGCUGUGCAGGAGACCUAAGGUCCACCACGCUCUGGUAGUCAGUUUCUCACUGCUGUUACCAAAGAGAGAAACACCAAGGAAAUCAGACCCUCCAGGGUGCCACCAGAGAGGCAGAGGAGCAAGGACCACUACAGGCAAAGGGUAUUGCAAGGGCCUGCUGUGCAGCAAUAGUCUUGGGAUGUGACCUGAACUCAGGUGCACUCCCUGGCCAUGCAGCCUCCCUGUGAAAGCAGUUUCAUGUACACUUGCACUCACGCUGCCCCAUGGCACCUCUGUUCUGUGUAAUUGCUCCCCUGCUCUGAGUCAUGGUGUUCCAGCAUUGUGCACUGUAUUAGCACUGCCUGCAACAUGCAUGAGCUCCUCAGCUCCUGCCUAGCCUGGCAUAGGGGAUCCUCUCCCCUUCUUUCCACACCAGACUCUGACCUGCCCCUGCAGUGCAGCAGGCACAGCCUGAUCUCUGAAACCUGCUCCAGCUCAUGGCCUUGGGCUCCUGCAGCAGCACUGAUUUCUCUGCAGUCAUUCUACAGGGGAAGCAAAAUGCUCCCUGCUGUCUGUUUUAUCUGUGUCCAUCUUAAGCACUGGAGAAAGGUGUUAUUGGAGCUCAACAGAAGGGUAUUUUUUUUUCUUUUUACACGAUUGAAAUGGGAGUUAUAUGUGCAAAGCCAUAAACUGUGUCUGAUGCCCAUCCACUCUUGUUCACCCACAGUACCUUUGAAAUAGUGUCCCAGGUCAGCACCAUGAGAGCCUGAUUUGCACCCAGAGAUCUCCAGAGACCCCAUGCUUUCCCUCUCCCUGGCUUGCUGCCCACAAGGCCCAUUGCUUUGCUCCAGAGGCUGGGCAGACAAAGGCUGUGUGUGAGCAGCCUGGUUUCUGACCCAGACUCCAGCUCCAGGACAGGGCUUCCAGCCUCAGCCUCCUAUUCCAAGAGUUCAUUGAGUGGCCACUGUCCAAGCCCUCCCUCAAGGACAGGGCAUUUUGCUCAGUCACAGCUCUCGUAUCCUCACUGUAGGUGAUGCAUCCCAUACUGUGGGGGCUGCGGUUGUGUUAUUGACACAACAGCUCUCAUCAUCUGACAUCUGCAGUGAGAUGGCAACGUUUCCACAGAGUCCAGCACGGCACGUUUGGCUCACAGCUAGGGCUGCCUCAGUUUCCCUUCUAGGUAGCUAAGCCAAGAACUAGCAGCCACAUCCCUCUGUGCUCCCUCCAUGGUAGUGCAGCAAUGACCCCGCCACUCACACACAUUCCCUUUGGCUCCUGGACUCCAUCACCCUGUCUGUGGGUCGGGGAACCAUGACCUACAGCAGCCACCAUGUGCAGAGCCAGCAGGACUUGCAGGCCUGUAUGGGGAGGCAUCUGACAGUGAGGCCAAUGCCACCCUGCAUUGUCACCCUCUGCCAGCCCUCUCCUUGGCUGGGCCUGGAGGCAGGGGAUGCUCUGCCUGGGGCUGGCAUGUGUGGCAGCUGGAGAUGUUUUAGGUAGCUGUCCAGAGGGUCUGCUGGGCAACCAGGUUCCAUGAGUUAUUUAUAAGCUAUGGGAGGGAAGCGGUGAUAAAUAAUACAUUGGCACUCUCACAUUCUGUGUGCAUGCAUCUACAGAUAAAUAUUU